rnacentral:misc_RNA from 1 species
CUUUUCUUUUGACAUUAAACUGUACACAUGUAGAUGCGAUGCAUUGAAGCCUGAAUACAGGAGUCAAAGCUGCAAAAUAUGCUUGAAAUUCUGUAGCUUUCAUGUAGUAUUAUCAUUUUGUACUUGUGCAUUGGUUCAAUAAAGGCAAUUGCAUAUUUUCAAUCUUCAUCUAUCCUUGAUGAGCACUGUAUGUCUUGAUAUCGGACUCGCCAUUUGUUAAGUCACCAUUCAAGAUCUUCUGGGAUGAAAAAUCUUUACAGCAUCCUUGCAAGGGGAGCUGUCAGUCAAGGUGGGAGCUCAGAUACCAAGAUUAAUCUAUUUGUGGUGACGUUGCUAGAGGUAGUAAUGCUUGAAUCUUGAUGGAUCAAAUAAAUAAUCUAUCACCCCUUGAGGCAGGCUAUAUUUUCAGGGCUAUGGUCUUCUGGUCUUGGGCAUCAGCUCCACAGCUGCAUAACAAUUUCAAAUUGAUUUCAAGGAAUAAG